GUGAGAUUCAACUUUUCUAGC
rnacentral:miRNA from 1 species